GUCACGGCAGCGUUGCGUGUGAUGUAACUGAUACCACCAGAGAAUGUUGAUAUUGGCCUCAGCAAAAGCAGAUGGAAGGCUCUGGGUUCAGCAAAACGACUGUAUGCAAUUAAGGCAUGAAAUUCAUCUGACCAAGCACAGAUACUUGAAUGGAUGAGCUAUCACUGAAUGCAAAGAAACAGAUCCUUAUCCCCAAAUGACCGAUCAGCCUUAACAAGCAACCAGACUUGAACAGCUGAAUAACUUAGCAACAAUGUAAAAACAGCCAUCUGGGAAAGUCUUGUCAAUUCUUCAGAACCAA